CUACGGGUUGCUGCAGUGAGGGAUUUUGCGCAAUGGGGGAAACCCUGACGCAGCAACGCCGCGUGAGUGAAGAAGGCCCUUGGGUCGUAAAGCUCUGUCAACAGGGAAGAAGUUACGGAUUUUUAAUAGAGAUUUGUAUUGACGGUACCUGUGAAGGAAGCACCGGCUAACUCCGUGCCAGCAGCCGCGGUAAUACGGGGGGUGCAAGCGUUAUUCGGAAUUAUUGGGCGUAAAGGGCGCGCAGGCGGCCUUGUCAGUCAGAUGUGAAAGCCCAGGGCUCAACCCUGGAUGUGCAUUUGAAACAGCAAGGCUUGAGUACGGUAGAGGAAAGGGGAAUUCCUGGUGUAGAGGUGAAAUUCGUAGAUAUCAGGAGGAACACCGGUGGCGAAGGCGCCUUUCUGGACCUGUACUGACGCUGAGGCGCGAAGGCGUGGGUAGCGAACAGGAUUAGAUACCCCCGUAGUC
rnacentral:rRNA from 1 species